GAUGAACGCUGGCGGCGUGCCUAAUACAUGCAAGUCGAGCGAAUGGAUUAAGAGCUUGCUCUUAUGAAGUUAGCGGCGGACGGGUGAGUAACACGUGGGUAACCUGCCCAUAAGACUGGGAUAACUCCGGGAAACCGGGGCUAAUACCGGAUAACAUUUUGAACCGCAUGGUUCGAAAUUGAAAGGCGGCUUCGGCUGUCACUUAUGGAUGGACCCGCGUCGCAUUAGCUAGUUGGUGAGGUAACGGCUCACCAAGGCAACGAUGCGUAGCCGACCUGAGAGGGUGUUGGGCCACACUGGGAAGGGGCAACGGCCCAGACUCCUACGGGAGGCAGAAGUAGGGAAUCUUCCGCAAUGGACGAAAGUCUGACGGAGCAACGCCGCGUGAGUGAUGAAGGCUUUCGGGUCGUAAAACUCUGUUGUUAGGGAAGAACAAGUGCUAGUUGAAUAAGCUGGCACCUUGACGGUACCUAACCAGAAAGCCACGGCUAACUACGUGCCAGCCGCCGCCGUAA
rnacentral:rRNA from 1 species